rnacentral:rRNA from 1 species
UACGUAGGGCGCAAGCGUUGUCCGGAAUUAUUGGGCGUAAAGGGCGCGUAGGCGGCUUUGCAAGUGGCGGGUGAAAUCCCUCGGCUUAACCGAGGAACUGCCUGCCAGACUGUGAGGCUUGAGACCGGGAGAGGUGAGUGGAAUUCCCAGUGUAGCGGUGAAAUGCGUAGAUAUUGGGAGGAACACCAGUGGCGAAGGCGGCUCACUGGCCCGGUACUGACGCUGAGGUGCGAAAGCGUGGGGAGCAAACAGG